AGAAUAUCCACUGCAGGAUCUUAAGACAAAGCUUUUCCAGUAAGAGCCAUAUUGAUCAUCAAAGAAUCACAGAGAUUCUCUCUCUGAAUGCCAAAAUUACAGUCACUUUGCAAAUGAGUUUUUAUUGGCUUUUUCUUCUUAAAAUAAUAUUUAUGAACACAGAGCUUCAAAGGUUUUUCUGUAGAGGUGUCCACAACAGCUGUACAGCAAUGCAUUUAUAGUAUAUAUUUUAAAAGUGUGCUAUGAAAUUAAACAUUGUAGUGAUAUAAAAUGAUGCUUAAAUCAUAGAAAGUCUACCAGCUUGUCAACUCAGUGAGUUUUGACACUAUGGAAAAUGGGUUUAAUUACUGUGUGCCUUCAAGCUUUUUUUUUUCUUUAAAAAUCAUUAUGUUGUAUAGCUAUAAGGCCUUCAAAGGAAAGACGCCUAUUUUUGUACAUCUAUAAGUAUUUGAUUUCAAGUAGUAAAUUGAAUGAGUGUUUAUUUUCCAUGAUCUUGGGCUUGAGAAAAGUGCAUUUCCAAAACACACUACUGAAAAUUUCACCCAUGCAUGACCUAUCUUUAUUUAAGCCUCACUUCUUCCCAAAGCCGUCUAGGCAAAUAUAUUUGUAUUUGUGUGGGUAACUAUUCACGUCUCUUACAGGGUUCUCUGGCCGCCAUGGCACUCAAUCAUACCACCUAGAGUGGACUGGCCGAGACCAGACUGGGUACCAAGCAGAGAAGUGCAGAGGAAAGCACUGGGAGAGCACCAGAAUUGGAAAUAGAGCGGCCAUUUGGAUUUGGGCAGGAAGCAGCCGAGCACAGCUUUGGAUCCUUCUUUAGGGAAAUCGAGUUAUGGAUUUAUGGUCCCGGUCAAGCUCAGCCCAUCCCCAGGCAGGGGCGGGCUCAGCGAGCAGCAAGAGUUCUGGUGGCGGCGGCGGCGGCAGUAGCAGCGGCAGCGGUAGCAGCGGCAGCGGUAGCAGCGGCAGCGGCAGCUUGGUCCUCUGACUCUCUUCGGUGACGGGUAUUCUUGGGUGGAUAAUACGGAUUACGUUGUUAUUGCUUAAGAAUACGCGUAGUCGAGGAGAGUACCAGCGGCAGGGGGGCAGCGGCCGCCCUCCCCAGCCCACCAGCUGGCCACUAAACGCCCGUGGUUGCCAAGGCAUCCAAAGCCUCUGGGAUGUGUUCUGACUGUAAAAACUCUGAUGUUGUGAAAAAAGCUUACGCUUUGCCUCCACUCAAACCAGAUGGUGUUUCGCUCUUAUUGCCCAGGCUGGAGUGCAAUGACGUGAUCUUGACUCACCACAGCCUCUGCAUCCAGGAUUCAAGCUAUUCCCCUGCCUCAGCCUCCCAAAAUGCUGGGAUUAUAGGCGUGAGCCACCACGCCUGGCCAGCAUUCCCAAUUUUUAAAAAUGAAUGAUUGGCACAAAUCUUAGAAAGCCAUUUUCUGUAGAUUUGAAAGCAAUGCUAUUUACAUUGUUACUACUUUCUUGUUAAAUCUUGCAUGUCUGCAGUAUGUGUUGUAAUAGAAACCUAAGAUUAUGAUCUGCUGUAUUCAUAUUUGAAGAAGAAAAUUUCAGACUGUAUAAUCAACUAGUUGAUGAUUCAUAUUUGCUUGUACAAAGUUAAAAGUGUAACUUGCCAGAAAAGAAGGAAGCCUGAAAAGUAUUCUAAAUACAUUAAUAAGAAGGGUUCUACAUGAAUUAAUUUUUGUUUUGCCAUCUACAGAGUUCCUGCCACAUUCUAGGCACUUCAUAUUUGCUGCAACAUUUAUUCAGACAUUGACAGAACAAGAGAAACGAAGUUAAAUUUUAAGUACCAUGGAUUGAAAUUAAAUUUAGGGAAGAUAUUUUAUAGUAUGAAUUGUUCAUCUGUAUUUAACAAGGUAUUCAUUUAUUUUGGGCGAUUUAAGGAAGGUCCUUUCUGGAAACAGGAUUACAAACAUAUGGACCUAUUUAGUCAAUUUCAACCUUGUGAUUUUGAAUCUGACAGGUUCUCAGCUGCUUUUAUUAAAUAACGGAUUUUCUUAAUAAUUACUGUACUCAAACUUAGCAAAAAGCUCUAUUUAUAGCCCAGUUUUUUAGUCACACACUAUUGUGUCUUGUCAAAUUGAAACCAUAUACUACAUUCUUUACUUAUUAAGAUGGUCUUUCUUUGUAAUAAUUUUGGAGUAAAUAGUUUACUUAUCUAAACCUCUGAUUUCUGAUUUAACAGAUUUUUGAAGCAUUUAUUUUCCUUACCAUACAUAAAAAUUGUCAGUUGAGGACAAGGAAGGAUUAACCUGGACUACGGUGAAUAAUUGUUCAGGUUGCUUACUGUGUAACUCCAGAGGAGCAUUCACAUGGUACAAUUUGCAGAUUUAAGUAUUUAUUACAACCAUUUUCUGGCAGAUAACAGUGGAACACCCUGUUCUGUUAAAAUUAGUUUAUUAUGACAAAUUGCCUACAGAUGGACAUAAACUGUCUUGAGGAAGGGCACCUGCUUUGGACUGAAUCGUGUCCCCCCAAAAUCAAAUGUUGAAGCCUAAUCUCUAAUAUGAUGGUAUUUGGAGAUGGGGCCUUUGGGAGAUAACUAGGUUUAGAUGAGGUCAAGAGUGUGGGGCCUUCCUGAUUAGUACCCUGAAAAGAGAAAACACCAGAGAGCUUGCCCUCUCUCCCUCUUACCCCACAGGCACACAAAGAGGUCAUGUGAGUACACAGUGAGAUAACAACCACCUAUGAGAAAACAGAAGAGGCUUCAGAGUGAAAUCUACUUUGCUGGUACUGUAAUCUUGGACAUUAUUCUCUAGAACUGUGAGAUAAUAAAUUUAUCUUAUUUAAGCCACCCAGUCUAUGGUAUUUUGUUAUGGCACCCUGAACUAAGACAAAUUUUGGUACCAAGAAAUGGGGGUGCUACUGUAACUAAUACCUAAACAUGGGGAAAUGACUUUGGAAUUGGAUAGUGAGUAGAGGCUCAAGAAUUUUCAGGUGCAUCCUAAACAUAUGAACAAACAGUAAAGGUGAUUCUGGUGAGACCUCAGAUGGAAUUGAGGAAUAUGUUAUUGGAAACUGGAAGGACGGUGAUCCUUGUUACAAAGUGGCAAAAAACUUAGGUGAACUGUAUUCUAGUGUUUUGAGGAAGGUAGAACUUGUGAGUGAUGAAAUUAAAUAUUUGACAUUUCUAAGCAAUAUGAUGAAGGAGCAGCUGGUUUCCUCCUGACCAUUUCUGCUGAAAUGAAAAAAAAAAAGAUAAGUUGAAGAAGAAAUUGUUCAGCAAAAAGGAACCAGAACUUGAAGAUUUGGGAAAUUCUCAGCUUAUCCACAUUAUUAAAAAAUGACAAAAACUUGCUCUGAAAAUAACACUAGGAGUGUGACUGGACAACCAUUUGAUAAGAGUUUAUGAGAUUAUGUGAGCAGAAAUUCUGCCAGUUUGAACUGAAGGGGAUGAAGAUGGGACAAAAAGAAUGAAGGCUUCGAGACUUCUUGGGUUAGACAUGAUGGGCUGAUUUGCUUAUUUGGCUGUGAACCUGCACUAUUUUUCAAGGAGAGGAAAAAAUGGCCCCAAAGGCAAUUCAGAGAUAGCCAGAGCCACAGCCUCAGUUUCAACAGGCUGGACAGUCUCCACUCAGCUCUUUGGAGGCAGAACCACUCAGAGGACUCAAGCCUGUCAGAGCUAGGGGGUGGGGCUGGCAAUCCCACAGGGUGGAAAGGAUGGGGCUAUCCUGCAAAUCCAUGUGGGUGAUGUCUUGGGUGGAAUGCUCUGGACUGAACUGUCCUCCCAUCCCCUGCUCAGAUUCUGUGUUGAAGCCCUUACCUCCAGUGUUACGGUAUUUGGAGAUGGGGUCUUUGUAAGAUAAUUGGGUUUAGAUGAGAUCAUGAGAGUGAGGCCCUCAGGAUUAGUGCCCUUAUAAGAAACCUCGGAAAGCUUGCGAGUUCUCUCUCUCUCUCUUUCUUUUUCUUUCUCUCUCUCUCUCCCCGUGUGUGUGUGUGUGUGUGUGUGUGCGCGCGCACACGCGCGCGUCAUGUGGAAACACAGCACAAAGGCAGCCUCUGCAAGCCAGGAAGAGGGCUCACGAGAACCCAAUCAAGCUGGCACCCCAAUCUCAAACUUCCACCCUCCGAAACUGUGAGAAAAUAAAUUUCUGUUGUUUAUGCUACCUAGUCUACAGUAUUUUGUGCUGAGCUGACUAAUACAGUUCCUUUCCAGAUUGUACAAAAAUGCCACAUGAAUCAGAGCUCACCAGCUCUAGUAGGUAUGAUUGUUCAGUGUUCAGCAUAUAGGAAACACUGGGGAAAUGCUCAUAUGUUCAAUGAAGAAAAUAUGCGUAACAAGUGAUUUAACAAUAAUGUGAUAAUUCAUUGGAUUACUCUAAGAAAUAUGAGUUUUUUUACGGCAAACUCUCCACAACACACUUGAUAAUAGAUUGAGAGGAAAUGGCUGUGUAAAUAAUUAAGCUGAGAAAAUAAGUUACAUUUGCUCUCACAGAUCAGUGGUCAAAGAGAGACAAAAUGCUGAGGGUGGGGUGGGGUGGACAGGACAUUGAGGAU
rnacentral:lncRNA from 1 species